GUGACGGGCNNUUGUGUAUCAAGGCCCGGGUAACGUAUUCACCGUGGCAUUCUUGAUCCACGAUUACUAGCGAUUCCGACUUCAUGGAGUCGAGUUGCAGACUCCAAUCCGGACUACGACAUACUUUAUGAGGUCCGCUUGCUCUCGCGAGGUCGCUUCUCUUUGUAUAUGCCAUUGUAGCACGUGUGUAGCCCUACUCGUUAAGGGCCAUGAUGACUUGACGUCAUCCCCACCUUCCUCCAGUUUAUCACUGGCAGUCUUCCUUUGAGUUCCCGGCCGGACCGCUGGCAACAAAGGAUAANGGUUGCGCUCGUUGCGGGACUUAACCCAACAUUUNACAACACUGAGCUUGACGACAGUCCAUGCAGCAACCUGUNUCA
rnacentral:rRNA from 1 species